rnacentral:rRNA from 1 species
UACGUAGGGGGCGAGCGUUGUCCGGAAUCAUUGGGCGUAAAGCGCGUGUAGGCGGCUCGAUAAGUCCGGUGUGAAACCUUGGGGCUCAACCCCAAGCCUGCACUGGAUACUGCCGAGCUAGAGUCCGGGAGGGGAGAGCGGAAUUCCUAGUGUAGCGGUGAAAUGCGCAGAUAUCAGGAGGAACACCGAUGGCGAAGGCAGGUCUCUGGGCCGAUACUGACGCUGAGGAGCGAAAGCGUGGGGAGCGAACAGG